rnacentral:lncRNA from 1 species
GCAGUUAUGCUUGGCUUGUGGUCUUGACCAAAAUAUUUGUUGCGUAUAUUUUUUUAUGAUUGUAUACACACUGUUGAACAUUCACCCUGGCAGAUCAUUGCCUGCAGCCGGCGUUUGUAACGUUAUACAGGAGUGAGCGCCCCCGUACAUUUCGAACUGUCCCUUUAUCGAACAAGAUUAUUUAGCUAAGUGAGACAUUUUCACCCCAUCAAUUAACAUAUUUCUGAUCUAUUUAACGAUAGAAAAGAAACACUUUUACAAAUUAUUCCCACAACAAUCCAAACAUUUAUUUCAGUGUGGUAAAUGUGUAGCAUCUCUCUUUAUCUGAUAUUGACUCAUAUUGCGUUGUUCAGAGGGGAGGCGCUUCAAUCUACUCGCAGUUUGACUCAUCAGAUCUGCAACCGCAUGCUUGAAGUGGUGCGAGAUACACGCUUGGAAAAUCCUCUGGCAAAGUAAAGUGGUUUGGUAAAUCUCCGGCUGUCUGGGUCUGCUGUUACAACAUGUCCUCAGGCUUCUGAAGACCUCGCGAUCCUUCCUGCUCUCUAAGUAUCUCUC